AGUACAACAACCAUUGAUCAUCUCCUACCACUUUUGUCUGUCAGGGUUUCCUGCCAACCCACAGGAUUAUCCAAACAAGCAAAUCCCAACCUCUAUUAAAGGAAAAAUAAAUGAUGAUACUUAUUUAAAGCACAGUAAGGCAGACUUCAUCCAGGACUCUUGCAAGAAGGAUAGAGACUAAAGCAACGGGGUUUCACAAGGACCGGGAAUCAAACUCACGACUUUGCGCUUGCCAGGCAGGUGCUGUGCUGCUGAGCUAAAUCCCCAGCCCCGGCAAUUUUAAAUAUUACGCAAGCUUCAGGACUCGGCAUUGCCACAAUGUGAAACCACAGAUGCGGAAUCUCAGACUAUCUUUUUCCUACAGAUGCCAGAGGAAACUGCUCAUAUUAUCCUAUUCUCUCCCUGCUGAAACAUUGUCCAAGCCAAAUGAAUGGAAUGUUUCAAGUUUGGUGAUGGACAGAAAGAAUGAUUCCUCUGUUGUGAAACUUUACUGGUGUCAGACCUCAUCUGAUGGACCUGAAUACAACUGAAGAAAGACUACAUAGGUCUGUCAAGGUAUCUUUCUAUUCAUCCAUGCUGAGAAAUAUGGAUAAAAUGUGCCGUUUGUCUCACCUCAGAGCUGACUAGCAUCCUCUGUUUGACAGAUUCCAUAAAGUACAAUCAAGUUCUACUUCAGUAGUCUUCAAUCUUAUGAGUCAACACUAUCUUUUUAAGAUAACUAUGUGUAAGGUACCGUUAUAGAUAUUUUAAAAAUAUAGUAUGUUGAUUGAAUAAUUAGGAUAUGAUAGUAAGGCUCAUGGUUUUGAAAAUUUCAAUUCAGAAUCAGCUGUUCUUGUUGCUCUGGGGCUAUGGUAGCAAGUUGUGGCAGAAGUGUGAGCAGAGCAAACCCACUCACCUCAUAGUCAGGAAGCAAAGGAGGGUGAGAGCAGGGCCAGGAUCCCAGUCCCUUCAAGGGCAUGUGCCCAGUAAAGUCCUUCCACCUCUUAAAGUUUCCUUCACCUCCCAGUAGUGCCGCUCUAGGAAUUAAAGCUUUAACAACAAGUGGUCCAUUGGGCAUCAUUAAGAUCCAAACUAUAGCAAUGUCUAUUUCGUGAAAUUAGAAAAAUUUAACCAACGUGUAACUUUCUUCUUCAGUUCACUUCUCUAUUGUUCCUGGAAUUUUUUCCCCCAUUUUUUCAGUCUGCACCAAGACUUUAGUUCAGUAGCUGAAAACUUUGAAAAUUGUGCUGCUCUUGGAAACACUAAUUGUGACACUACUGCCAUGAAAAUCAGCAUUAAACAAGUAGUUCCAUUAUUUACAUAAUAACCAGAUGAGGUUUUGUUUUUGUCAUUAUUGUUUUUCAAGCACUACUUGGCAUUCGAACCAGGAUGCUUAAACAAAUUUGGGAUGUUGAAUUCACAGAUUACAAAGAGUCAUACAACACAGCCUCAUAGGAUGACACACAUGGUGACCUUAGAUAGCUGGUAAUAGUUUGAAGUGUGUGUACCAUGUGCAUUUUGUGUAUGCUUAGCAUCUAUUCAGGCUCAACCAAAUGUAAUUUUUUGCACUCACCUUACUGUUCUUUGGGUUGAAAUGUUGCAAAAAAUAAAUCUUGAAAUUUGCUUA